ensembl:lncRNA
GGGAGAACAGGGUGGGUGCAUUGCCCAGCACCUAGCAAGGGCGGGAUUAAGGUAGGUGGGACUUGAGCAUCUUUGCAAAUAUCAUUUCUUGCCUAACAAUUAGAAAACUUGAAUUCUCAUUCUGACUAGCCCUAGUGCCUGAUCCCGCGAGGUGCUGAGUGCUGUCUGCCAGGAGCAGGCCCCUGCGGACUGCGUACAGCCAGGGUGAGGAGCAGGGCUGAGCCUGCGACCACAGCCCCCAUUUCCUUACUGCUUCACAAGUGCAACACUAACGCUACUGGAAACUAAGAUAUCUGAGCAACACGUGUAUGAAGAUGAGAAGCUGAUAUGAUGGGACAAGCAACACAUCCUGCAGCAAUGGGAGCUGAGUGUUAACAGAAUGGAUGGCGACUUUGUGGUUUUUUUUGAAGUGGAACAAAAACAAUCACCGUUUAUGAGAUAUUUAUUAAACUCUUUUUAUUAUGAAUAAGUGCCGCAUGGUGCAAGGCAUAGUUGCUUUUAGAUGGAAAUGAUGGUUCAGCCUAAUUUAAUUUAUUUUGUAAUGAUGAUUCUACUUAUGUGCAGAGAGAGCCCACAGGAAAUUCUAUGCAUCUCCUAAGGGGGAGACUGGUCUGCACCCUUUGCUUCUAUAUGUUUCUAAAAGGGUCUGAAUUCUUUUUUUCUUUUAAUUUUCUGCUUUUGUUUUUACACCUAGGCUUGGAUUCUCAAAUCUCGAGGGCCUGACUCAAAGGUGAUUUAAUUUAACAGUACUGACAUCUCUUUUAGUGAUCAUUCAGCCAAGCCAUACGAGAACGAGGUGCCCAAUUCCCCUUGAACGAGUUAGUUGCAAUGAGAGAGGAACAUCCAGUUCCUGUAGGCUGCUUUGAACACAUCCAUCUUUUUCACCCUGAAAAUCUUUGCUACCUGAAGACUAGAGAAGUGCUGACAAGGAAAGAACAUGACUUGGGAAGCUGACGAGAGAGAUCUCAGCCAAACUGUUAAAACCUCUUUAGUCUUAACUCACCUUGUGGUGGCCGCAGCGUCGCAACGCGAUGGCGGUUUGGAUAUGAGGCUUUCAGCCAGUGGAACCAAGUCCUCCAGCGAAGCCCUGGGGGAGCUGCCUUAACAACCCAAUAAGUCAAACCUCUCCCUCCCACCUAAACCCUGCUUAGCCCUCUCUCCUUGCAAGAACCAAGACAAUGCUCAAUCUUAAGCGCAAGUCUUCCCCUAGUUGCUGUCUUGCUCUGUUCUGCCCUCAUGGCAGCAGAUGAUGGAAAGCAUUAUUUUGGCAAACCAUCCAGCGGAGGUGGGCUGGAGCCUUCAUCCCCGCUUGUGAAGAAUUUCCAUUCAGGUUAAAACUCUGCUGGGAUCCUUUUUCAGACCUCUGAACUCUGAGAGCCGAUACGAACGGAGUGAUGGGAACUAUUGAAAAGAAGUAGGAAACAUUGUGCUUCUUUCUGUAUCAACACACUAUGGAGAAAGGUAUUACACGAGCUUUUUAAAGAUAUUCAAACAGAGGCAGACGAGAAAACUUUUUUACCUACUUUUCGGCUAGGACAACGAAAAAGAAUUCUAAAAUUAUUAAAGUUCUUGAUGAAAGGUUUUUUUUACAAGAAUCUUUAUGCUUUCAAACAAUAAAUUAUUUCCUACUUUUUGAGACUUCGUAAUAUUAAAAUACUUUGAUUAGCUAUGAUAGAAGUAGAAGUUUGCAAUGAAACAAACCCUCUGUCUCAUUAGUGUGUCAUACUAAGUGCUUAUUAAUUUACAUCUGAUUAUAGUCAAUGUAUUUUUCAAGUGCAAUUUCCCAGAGCUAUUUGUUUCCCACUGUGUUAAUAAACUAAUAGUUAGAAAUAAGUCCCAUCCGUGUUUACUGUAAUUAAGAAUAAAACCAUUCCCUUUCAAACCAGGAGUUAGAUAUAGGCUGUUUGUUCUAAACUCAUGUCCAUUGAACAGAAAGUGGACGGUGUGAGGUUCACUUCGCGCCUUGCUUUUGUUCUUUCUAUCUUCAUUUGGAGUAAACAUGCUUAAAUCCGCUCAGAGUGGGGAUGUGUCCCUGGGAUGGUGCUGGGACAGGGAUUCGAGGUACCGGGAGGUGAUGGGGAUUGGGAUGCACAUCCUGGGGGAGGACAGGGCAGUGAUUUCACAUCCCAAAAGUCAUGGUCUGUGUCAGCCUGCAGCGCGCUGCCUUGUUCAGCCAAAGCAAAAAACAAGCUGUGACAUUUGACAAUUGCAUUAAAAAAAAAAAAAUCCUCCAAAAAUCCCUUUUCCUGUAGAAAACUUUGAUUCCAACAAAACUGAGUGAUCUGUGAUCUCUGCGCGUGAAUGGUACGGAUGUAUCAGAAGGCAAUGGAUUGCUGUUGGACUUUGAAGCCACUCAGUGAUAGUUUAAACUAAACCUUCUGUUUCUCCGCAUCUCUCUGUUCAUCCCCGGACAGCAUCUAACACAGAUCAGCCCCAGUUUUUCAGUAAGGCCUGCAGGUAUCAUCAUCCCAUCAUUAACAACAGCCAGUCCUUUGGAAAUAGCCCAGAGCAAACUGCAGCAGCAGAAAUGCUAUUGGAGCAGACUCCAUUUUCUGAGACAAAAAUUUUGGGUAUCUCAUCAUCUCUCUUCCUGGUUUCUCAUACAGAAUAGGAGAAAUCGCUUCAUGUGCCCGUAUUGAUAACAGUAAACUCUUCUUAUAUUUCCUUUCUGUAUGGAUCACAAAUCCACAAGGGCUAAUAUAUCACAUCCCUUGAGGUUGCAUUUCUGUCUGCAGUUCUAACGUGUUAUUGCCACUGUGCUUCAGUUCUGCUGGUGUAAUCACAACCGUGUAUAAUGUACUUAAUCCUUCCUUUUUAAAUAAACCAUUUUAAAUGU